rnacentral:pre_miRNA from 1 species
UAAAGUUUGAGUUAAAUAACUCACUAUCCAAUUACAUUGGAGAUAAAUGAAUUGGAAUUUAUAUAUUUUAUUUAUUAAUUUUUUCCAACUCAUUUAUCUUCAAUGUGAUUGGAUGAUGAGUUAUUUAACCCAAACUUUA